rnacentral:rRNA from 1 species
GAUGAACGCUGGCGGCGUGCCUAAUACAUGCAAGUCGAGCGAACAGAUGAGAAGCUUGCUUCUCUGACGUUAGCGGCGGACGGGUGAGUAACACGUGGAUAACCUACCUAUAAGACUGGGAUAACUUCGGGAAACCGGAGCUAAUACCGGAUAAUAUCUUGAACCGCAUGGUUCAAUAGUGAAAGACGGUCUUGCUGUCACUUAUAGAUGGAUCCGCGCCGCAUUAGCUAGUUGGUAAGGUAACGGCUUACCAAGGCAACGAUGCGUAGCCGACCUGAGAGGGUGAUCGGCCACACUGGAACUGAGACACGGUCCAGACUCCUACGGGAGGCAGCAGUAGGGAAUCUUCCGCAAUGGGCGAAAGCCUGACGGAGCAACGCCGCGUGAGUGAUGAAGGUCUUCGGAUCGUAAAACUCUGUUAUUAGGGAAGAACAAAUGUGUAAGUAACUGUGCACAUCUUGACGGUACCUAAUCAGAAAGCCACGGCUAACUACGUG